rnacentral:rRNA from 1 species
AACGAACGCUGGCGGCGUGCUUAACACAUGCAAGUCACGGGGGUCCGUAGCAAUACGGAUAACCGGCGAACGGGUGCGUAACACGUGAGCAACCUGCCGUACUCAGGGGGAUAGCCGGCCCAACGGCCGGGUAAUACCGCAUACGAUUCUUCGGGGGAGUCCCCGGGGAAGGAAACCUCUGGGGGAGUACGAGGGGCUCGCGGCCUAUCAGCUAGUUGGUGCGGUAACGGCGCACCAAGGCGACGACGGGUAGCUGGUCNGAGAGGAUGGCCAGCCACAUUGGGACUGAGAGACGGCCCAGACUCCUACGGGAGGCAGCAGUGGGUAAUCUUGCGCAAUGGCCGAAAGGCUGACGCAGCGACGCCGCGUGGGGGAUGAAGCAUUUCGGUGUGUAAACCCCUGUUGCCCGGGACGAACAGCGCUUUCGAGGCGCCUGACGGUACCGGGUGAGGAGCACCGGCUAACUCCGUGCCAGCAGCCGCUGU